UACGGGGGGGGCAAGCGUUGUUCGGAAUUACUGGGCGUAAAGGGCUCGUAGGUGCCAACUAAGUCAGACGUGAAAUCCCUCGGCUUAACCGGGGAACUGCGUCUGAUACUGUUUGGCUCGAGUCCGGAAGAGGCGAGUGGAAUUCCCGGUGUAGCGGUGAAAUGCGCAGAUAUCGGGAGGAACACCAAUGGCGAAGGCAGCUCGCUGGGACGGUACUGACGCUGAGACGCGAAAGCCAGGGGAGCAAAGCGGG
rnacentral:rRNA from 1 species